AUUUAAGUAGCUUAUAAGAAAGAGUGUAAUAUUGAAGAUAUUAAGGAAAUAAUUUGUUAUUCUUAAAUA
rnacentral:tRNA from 1 species